GAUGAAGAACGUAGCGAAAUGCGAUAAGUAGUGUGAAUUGCAGAAUUCAGUGAAUCAUCGAAUCUUUGAACGCACAUUGCGCCCCUUGGUAUCCCGAGGGGCAUGCCUGUUCGAGCGUCAUUUCACCACUCAAGCCUGGCUUGGUGUUGGGCGACGUCCUCUUUGGGGACGCGCCUCGAAACGCUCGGCGGCGUGGCACCGGCUUUAAGCGUAGCAGAAUCUUUCGCUUUGGAAGUCGGGGCCCCGUCUGCCGGAAGACCUGCUCGCAAGGUUGACCUCAGGUCAGGCGGGGCUACCCGCUGAAUUUAAGCAUAUCAAUAAGCGGAGGA
rnacentral:misc_RNA from 1 species